rnacentral:lncRNA from 1 species
UCAAAACUAGGGAAUCAAGUCUUUGUCGGUUUCUUGGUUUUAAAAAUAAAUCGUUUCGGUUAACUUUAUUGUUAAAGGUUUUAUCUCAAACUCUCGCUCUGUUGAAUAAACCAUGAUUUUGUAUUAAUGUAGCUGUCACUUAUAAUUAAGUCAAAAACCACUUUUUGAAAGCAAUAAAGUUGCAGAAACUCUUCUUAAGAAAACACUGACCGUUUUAAACACCCUUAUCUCAAACUCUCGCUCU